UUCUGCUGCCUUUGGAGCUGUUAUGUAUUCCACUUACAGUCUGUGUUCCACAAUGACCUCACAUUGAACCACGUUCUUUUUAGCUAUUCACAAGGGACGGUAAGUUAUGCUUUAAAUCCGAUAACAUUUUGGCAUGUAUUUUGUUCUCAUUUCUUCUGUUGUAUAUCACAGACAUCAAAGAUACUGUGGAUUUUCUGAUUGUCGGUUUGAUUAAAAAAACACAAAACACCCCACCCCAAACCUGCACCGAACAACCCUGUUAAAUUUACAUGUCACAUUUCAAACAGGUCAGGUUGGCAAACAGCAGUCCUCCAUAUGAUUACCUCCCUCAUUUUAACAAGAGAUGUUUACUCGCUUGCGUAGAAUACACUUACUUCAUAACGAUGGAUUGCUGCAUAGCAUCCAGAUGUGUUUUGAGAUUAUCAGUUUACAUACCCUCCAACAUUUCUCUGAUGAAAAUAGGGAGGUCCCAUUCCAUAAUGAUAAUGUUACAAUUUAUACCCCACCCAUCUGACUGGGUUGCCCCCUUAGCCAUUCUGGGCAGCUUCCAACACAGAUGAAAACAUUAAACAUUAAGAUGGGGCACGUCACGUUCAAAGGAUUUUGGCUUUUUACUUGUGACCCCAGUUUGAGUACAAUUAUUCAGUUUGCGGGGGGAGGGCACAAAAUGUGGGGUUUGCAGCACAAAACAGCACAAAUGUAGCAUAAAACUUUUACAUCAGGUUUUUUUUGGGGGGGGGAUCUGGAAUUUUGGGAUCACACAUUAAUGAAGCUUAUUUUGGGUUCCUAUAGCCGCACCAAGAAAUCCGCAUAAGCAAACCGCAUUAAAAAUUGUGUGCUGAGAAUUUCCAGUUGCCAGACCAUACGCUUUUGCUUUCUAGAGUGGGAUUUAUUUAUUUUUAACCAAGGGGCAUAUGCAGCUAUCUCUGUACUCUGGUCUUAUCUGAGUGGGGGAAAGGUGGGUGGACAACUAAAUCAUGCCCAAAUGUGGAAGAUUCUGGUAGCACUCAUUAUAAUUACCUGUUAGUGAUAAAAAUAAUUGAUCAUAAAACCAUAUUGUGCUUCUCUGUGUUUUCUAUUGCUCCCUAAAGAGCUACAUUGUACUUGGACUAAGGCUUCAUGUCUCCUGGACCAUCUCAGUUGUCUCCAUCUGGCCCAGGAGUGCCUUCCUUCCUUGCCAUUCCCAAGCUCCAGAAGCAUAUGGAUCUAGGAGUCAGGCAAAUCUCUUGGACCUGCUGGUACAGCAGCAAAAGUAUCACCCUACAAUUGUCAAGGGUCUUCAGGCAUUUGCUCAAGCGAGCAAGAGAUCAUCAGAACUAAUUGAGACAGAGCCAGCACAAAGUAGCUGGGGAAUGUGCUUGUUGGGGGAGAGGCAGAAUUGAUGACAUAUUUUGCUAACAAGAGGAGCGGCUGCACUUUGUACUAGCUGGAAGCUUUUCAUGGCAUGUGGCUUUUUGUCAGAUAAAAUGAGUUGUAAUAAUUGAGCCAGAAGGUCAAGAAUGCAUGGAUUGUGAAUGUCUUGCUUCUGUGACUUUUCUUUAUUUUCUAACCAUUUGCUUUUUGUAUAAGCUACCAAAAUGGGGAAAAACCAACGUCAUACAUAACUGCAGAUUUGCUUCCAUUUUUAAAACAACAACAACAACCAUUUCCUAGUCAUUAAAGCCAUUUUUAUUUACUUUUAAGUUUGUUAAACAGCAGAACCUUGUUUUAUCUUGUGGCCCAGGAAAGCAUAGUAUUCUUUUCUGUCUUGAGUUCCUUGCAAAGUUCAGUUGUCAAAAGAUUUUUUUUUAAAGAAACAAUAACCCCCACACUAGGAAAAUGUGACCUGCUCUGGGCUGUGUCAUAGGUUGAAAAUUUCCCCUCCCUUUCGAGAGAGAGAACAUGUCUCCAAGGCCCUGAAGCACCAAGAGAGAUUGUAUUCCAAGAUGAAAACCAGAGUUGUUAGUGAAGCCUAUAUUUCAGCACUUGCCCCUUAUAUUCAUUUCUGGCCCAGCCCAAAAGGUUUUGCAGCCUAAAGCAAAGGACAAGAUUGCAACUCCCUCUGUUUCAUGUACAAAAGCCAACAAGACCAGGACUUUUUUUCAGCUGGAACUUGCCGGAACUCAGUUCCUGCACCUCUCAGGUGGGCGCCAUUGUAAGAGAACAAGGGAGAAAUUCAUGGUGAGUUCCGGCACCUCUUUUUCUAGAAAAAUAGCAAUGAAGAAGACUGGUACAUCCAUCUUACUUCCACAUCCUCCACUUUACUCAAGGCUAGGGUUACACCCACUCCAUCCAUUUAAAGCACAGGAGGGCUGUAGUUUGUUAGGGGUACUGGGCACUGUAGUUCUCUGAGGGUCAAACUAGUUCCCAGGAUACUUUGGGGAAAGACAUUUGCUUUAAACUAUGUGAGGUGGAUUAGGCUGAAAUACAUCGAUUGAUUCACUGGAUUCAUGACAAACCUAGACAGCAUCUUUAAAAGCAGAGACAUCACCUUGCCAACAAAGGUCUGUAUAGUAAAAGCUAUGGUUUUCCCAGUAGUGAUGUAUGGAAGUGAGAGCUGGACCAUAAAGAAGGCUGAUCGCCGAAGAAUUGAUGCUUUUGAAUUAUGGUGCUGGAGGAGACUCUUGAGAGUCCCAUGGACUGCAAGAAGAUCAAACCUAUCCAUUCUUAAGGAAAUCAGCCCUGAGUGGUCACUGGAAGGACAGAUCCUGAAGCUGAGACUCCAAUACUUUGGCCACCUCAUGAGAAGAGAAGACUCCCUGGAAAAGACCCUGAUGUUGGGAAAGAUGGAGGGCACAAGGAGAAGGGGACGACAGAGGGUGAGAUGGUUGGAUGGUGUUCUUGAAGCUACCAACAUGAGUUUGAUCAAACUGCGGGAGGCAAUGGAGGACAGAAGUGCCUGGCGUGCUCUGGUCCAUGGGGUCACGAAGAGUCAGACACGACUAAACGACUAAACAACAACACAUUGACUGAUUCACUGGAUUCAUGGCUGAUUGGGGUUUGAACCUGGCCUCCAAGGUCCUAGUCCAUCUCUCUAACCACUAAACCAUAAUAGUGGGAGAGUUCCAAAGCAAUAUAUUUAAUAGUGCAUUUUCAUAGCAUUUACUAUCCAUUUUCUGGGGUUCAGAUCACAUACCUCCACAUUUGGGUGUAUACAUGUAGAUGUAAAACUAGGGUUGUCAUAAAUCCAGAAUUUCCUGGACUUAGCCAGAAUACUGCAGUUGGAAGUGGCUGGGCAAGAUAUCGCUAAAAAUGUCUGGGGAAAUCCAGACGUAUGGCAACCCAUGUUGGCAGUGUAUUUUUUGGCGAUUUACCUUAAAAAUAGCUCAAAACACCCCUUUUUUGCCAACCCCCCCCCCUCAAGAAUGGGCAGGAAUUGGUAGGCAGACCAGUGGGCAUGACCCUAAUCACCCCCUCCUUGUGUUCAUUUGUAUCCAAACCACUAAGUGAAUAGGGCUGUUGCUGUAGGUAGGUCUUCAACAUGUGUUAUGCACAUUUCCUUGCGACGGUGUGCCUGGGGCUGACCUCUGAAGCUGGUGUCUUGGGAAACUGACCAUAACAAUUCAUUAUGAAUGUUUAAUAGAGUGUUUAAUCUUGCAGUGGAUCUGGAAUAGCUGCAAUGAGCACAUUCAGCUACAUUUAUCUGGAUAAGAUGUUUUGGAGGGAAGCUCAGGCUAGCCUUACUCUAGUUUACAUCCGCACACAUUUCUAAAAGGGAACCCAAACAACAACAACAACAACAACAACAACAACAACAACAACACACCUCUACCAAAUGCAAAAUAGAGACAGUAGUUUACCCGGGAGAGACCACCAGUAGGGACUAUUGUAAAUAGAAAGCAUUAGAGUGUGUAUGCUUACUACAUCAUUUUUUAAAACUUCCACUGAAAGAAAUUGAAAAGAAAUAGUGGGGGAGGGUGUGGACUUCAACCUGCAUGGAUGGUGCUAAUUCCAAGGCAGAAUCAACAGACUUUGAGCUUUGGCUUCUCUAGAAUUAACAGAGCUCAUAUAGAACCACCUUUUUCACCCAGGCUGCAGAAAUUCUAGGAGGAUGGAUAGCUGAACAUGAAGAAACUGGCUGUGCAGUUGUCAUUUAUUCAACAGAAAUUGCUCCCCUUAUCAGCAAUUGCCAUUCUGAAUGCCUAGAGUUUCAUAGGGUGGAAAUGGGAGCACACGUGCUGGUUAUGCACUCCUAAGCUUAAGCACCAAGCUCUUUAUUCUCCUGACAUUUGCUAAGACUAAGUUUCUGAUAGACAGGAAAGUUUUUGGGGAUUCCAAACCUUGCUUCCACUCCUUGCCCCCUUCUCUCUCCCUGGUAUUUUUGACACCCCAUGCUGACUUUAUAACAGUAAAUUUUUUACAGGCCAAUAACAACCUAAUUCCGAUGCCCCAUCCCUUUCUCAUGCCAUUGGGCCUUCUCAUCAGCUUCCAACCUCCAACUUGUGUCACACAUACAACUUGUGACCUUGUGUCACACAGCUAUAUAUUCCUGGUGUCAAGAAUUGGCAUUGACGGGAACCUGCCAAGGCCACAGUCAGUAAGCAUGCACUGCCAAUCCCUGGAUCCUUCUGACCCCGCUGCUUAUCCUCUUUUCUGUUGCACUUGUGAAGCAAACAAGAAAGUCACCUGCCCUAUCAGAGGGAACCAAUAGUAGAUGGAGGAGGAGGAGUAGUAACCUCCAUAUGUUGUGCCCUGUUUCCAUGGAAGGUGGGCCUAGUGGAUGGGGCAAAAACAUGAACAGUGGCUGUUAGUCCUACCUGCACUGUCAGGGCACAAUGUUUCUGUGUGCCAGUUAUUGGCGAACACGAGGAGGGAGAGUGCUGUUGUGAUCAGGUCCUGCUUUCAUAGGCAUCUGCUUGGUCAUUGUGAGAACAGGAUUCUGGACUAAAUAGAUGUACAGAGGACUUUAUAUGUAAUAUUGUUAUUGUGUUUGAUUUCUUAUCUGCAUUUCACCAUUGCAUUCAGUGAGCCAUACAACACUUCCCUAUUUCUUAGGUGGUUUUUUAAAAAAUACAAAUAAAUAAAUAAAUACAUAGUUGACUUUUGUAGACAGGAAUAAGAUUCUUUGUGCUAUAUUGCAUUUUACCUAAGUACAAAUGCAUACUUUGUCAAUAGUUCACAUAUAGGGCCAUUUUAUAUUCCACACUUUUGAGUACACACCUAAAAUGUUCUAAAUGCAUAUUUCUAAUGAGAAAUACGAAUAUUUCCACACAGGUAUAUGCUACAGGUAAAGACCAAAAAACUAACUGACAUCAUGUACCUGCUUAGAUAACAUCUUCUGGCAAACCUACGUUUACUACUUCAUGCACAAUUUUCGUGCAUGGAGACCGGUUCUGUAUUAAAUAAAUGCACCAUCGUAGUUGGUGAGUUCAUGCACGUCUGCAUGUAGAGCCACUUAGGGCUGCCAUACGUCCGAGUUUUCCGUUCAGGAAUCGGACUGUCAAAAUGGUGUCCGGGCAGAUUUUCACCAAAUCAGCGAAACCCAAAGAGUUUGCCCUCCCCCCAAAAGCUCAACAACAUCACCUUCCGCCCUCCUCUGAACUGAAAAGGUCGACAACUUUGUCCAGAUUUUCACUUUUGGCAAUGUGGCAACAUUUCUUUCCCACCUUUCACCCAAAAUUAUCCACAAGGCAUUUCUCCACCUCCUUUUACUCUGACAACAGCACUGUGAGGUAGGUUAGACUGAGAGAAAGUGACUAGCCCAAGGUCCUUAGGGAUAUGAAAACCAGACAAAGAACUAAGGUAACACCACCACAAAAUCCUGUUGUGGUUGUUACAGCAGUAUCCCUGGUGUGUCAGAACUGUUGCUAAGAAAUUUUUCCAGAACAUGUUGGGCUCACAAUGUUUAGCAGCACCUCUAGUUUCUUUCCUUCUCUCUUUCCUUCCUUCCCCAUUUUUUCCUGGGUGGGGAUUUGAACCCUGGUCCAAAACUCUAGUCAUUUCACCACCCACACCAUGCUACCCAUCCAUUACAUAACUGGGGACCAAUUAGCACUUCAUGCAGCAAAUUAGUUUGCUGCUUGCUCCUGCUGUGACGUCAUGGUUGCAUCCAGUUACUCAGGGCAUAUCACCAUGUGUCCUGUUUAUGUCCUGGAAGUUUGCCACCUGGUAUUGCAGGGUUUUUUGGGGGCGGGGGGGGGACAUGUAGUGUGCCAACCUAUCUGCCACAUAAAGUGUGGGACUGGACCUGAAUACACAGAUGGGGAGAGAGAGAGCUCUUAUGCAUCAGCCUAUGCAUCAUCUCUAUACCUGCUAUAUUACUCAGCUUAGAGAAACAGACAGGAGCCCUCCAUGAAUACUCGCCUCUGUGUUCUAUGCAGAAGCCUGCCUGCAUAAAUAUUUUAUUUAGUUUAAAUAGAAAAUCCUUAAAAUAACCUUUUCCCCUACUGUUCUUUUCAAAUGAUAUUUAAUCCAUAAAAAUGCUGACUGUAAAUUCACCUUCAGCUAAAGUAAACAUUUCUCUCUGGAUACUUAAAACGUGUGCGCACAGACACAGACACACACACACACAUAUGCCCUGGGUACUGCCACACUGAUAUUUCGAGACAUAUUUGGCCUUUUAAAUCUCUUUCUUAAUAUCAGCAUAGAAUUAAACUUCAAACAUUGGCUCUCUUUCCUACCUUAUAUAUUCCGUGCCAUUUAGCUAGAGAUAUUGCAAGGUUGUUGUUUCUACCUUGAUGACAAACAUUCAUUCAUUCAAAAACAAAUGAAUAAAUGUUGGGAUCAGAAGGCGGUAGUUUGAAGGAAAGAAAACGAUGACAGGAAAGGAAAUAGGAAAGGGUUAAAGAUGCUCCCCAAAGCAGUAUUUUGGCCUGACGAGUUUUGAAUUCAAGACUGUUCCUGGUGGGUGGUGGCUGGAGUGGUUGUAACUCAAAUCACUUCCAAGAAGGGUAUUGUAGAGCUGGAAAAGGUGCUAAAAAGGACAACCAAAGAAAGUGAUACUUCUCUCACAAUACUAGGACUUGGGGUCAUCCAAUGAAGCUGAAUAUUGGAAGAUUCAGGAAUGACUGAAGUACUUCUCCGUGUAGUGCAUAGUUAAAUUACUGAAUUCACAACAGUAAGAUGUAGUGAUAGUAAUCAAUUUGGGGCAACUUAAAAAAGAGACUAAACAAAUUCAUGAAAGAUAAGGCUAUCAAUGGCUGCUAGUCAUGACUGGCUCUAUCACCUCUAGUAUCAGACACACCUUGUCUCUGAAUUCCAGUGACUGGGGAACCAGAGUGGGAAAGGGUUAUUGCCCUUAUAUUCUUAGAAUCAUAGAAUUGCAGAGCUGGAAGGGACCACAAGGGUCAUAUGGUCCAACCCCCUGCAAUGCAGGAGUCUUUUUGCCCAACGUGGGGCUUGAACCCACAACCUUGAAAUUGAGAGUCACAUGCUCUGCGGACUGAGCUAUUCCAUAGACUCCCUUGUGGACUUCCAAAAGAUAUCUGGAUAGUCACUGUAAGAACAGAAUGCCGGACUAGAUAGGUCUUUAGUCUGCUCCAGCAGAGCUCUUCUGACAUUUCCAUAACCCCUUGAAAAGGUCAUAGAACAUAUUCAUUGCCCUCAGUGAAAGACAAGCUUCUUUAGGUUUCUCUUCUCCUUUGAGAGUUCUUCUGGACUUGUGUUCCUCUGCUCCAUGUUGGAUUUUAGUCUAGAAAAGAACAGCACAGGGAAAGAUUAUCUGAAGGAUUUGCUAUGCCUACGCAACAGUAACUUUCUGAUCCAAUAAAACCAAAAUAUGGAACACUCAUUAGAAUGCUAAAAUAUUGUAUUGAUUUAAGAUUAGCUUAUACAUGCUGAGCAACCUUACCAUGAAAAGCAAUCUCAAAGAAUAAAGCCUUAAGGUGCGGUUCAAAAAUGUCCAGGCAGGCUUAGACUUUUGGUGAGGUCUUGAGGGAAGGGCAUUCCAUGAUUACUAAGAACAUUUAUUUGCCUACAGACCCUUAAGGCAUGGAAUUGGUGUAUAGAUGGUAUAUUUAAGGAAGGGCAAGUGGCUGGUCAUAAAGACUGUGACAGAACAUAAAAUAGGAAGACAUUUCCAAGGGUCCAUCUACACAGUGCUAUUUUUCUGGAAAAAGAGGUGCCAGAACUCACCACAAACAUCUCCAUUGUUCUCUUACAACGGCAAUGGUGCCCACCUGAAAGGUGCCAGAACUGAGUUCCGAUGAAUUCUGGCUGAAAUAAAGCCCUGCAUCUACACAUCAUGAGGGGCGGGAGACAGUCUCCAACGCUCUAGUGGAGCAGAACUUUUCUCUCCUCUGCAGCCCACUGCAUGCCCUCAAAAUCAGCUCUGGAAGUUUGGGAGACCCUCCAGAGAAGAGGAGGAAGAGGAGGAGAGAAAAAGCAGCAGUGCACUGUUCUUUGCUGAUUUUAUUUCUUGACUAGAGAAAUAAGCCUCCAUAUACUAUUCACAAAGGUUUGUUCACAUGUCACACUGAACAAAGUGUGUGUCUUUGUUCUCUACACAUGUGUCUCUACACAUGUAUAUGCACUUGUGUGAAAGCAGAUAUGCUUGUUUAUUUGUUCAGUUCAUUUACUGUGUACACCCACUGAAUGUUACAUGUGAAGAUCAAUCACUAAAAGGUGACAGAUUUCUGAGGGUAGGAGAUUUUUUUUUCUUUAAACUAUUCUGGGCCAAGAUUAUUUUAAAAUACGCCUUCAAAAAGUCUACCUGCUAGUUUGUUUUCUUCACAUUCUGGAUUAUCUCUGUGAUAACUUGAAGUUUUGCUUUAAUUAUAGGAAGCUGUGUUGAAUUCAAAAGGCUGUCAUCUUCUGAGUCUUUCCAGAAGGUUGGAGUUUCUAGUUCAGAGGAGGGGGGUGGAAACUCUUCUUUCCUUCCCCCCACCCGGUAAUAAUAUGGUCCAGUGAUUAUUUAAAGCAUUUUCUAAUUUAACUCCAUGCAGCAAGAAUAAAGUUAAAGGAGAGACUAGUAAUUACCUACAGCUGAGUAUGAGCUAUUGGACAGUCAUUUUGGCCAAUGGUCAUUUUGUAUCUCAGGCUACUAUGGCUGAAAUACUGGUAGUUUUGAUGUGGGAAAGCUUCAGUUAAAAAACAGCAACAAAGAACUAAGGAAUAAGACACAAUAGUUUGAAAGAAAAUAUUGGGUGUUGUUUCAAGAAUCUGUCACCUUUAUCAUGCAUGGCAUGUCCUAUGUCCUUCUGACUGAACUGUGUUCCACAAUAGUUUCUCAUUUUUUGUUUUCAGAUGGAAAUAAGAAAGAAAAACCAGGAAGUAAAUACUUAAAAAGAAACUAUGAGAAAGAUAAGAGAGUACUUCAGAGCCACAGCAAAGUAUGUAUACUUAAAGCUGCCUUUCUGAAAUGUACUAAUUGUAUGCACAUUUCACAUUGUUGCAGACAACUCAUUACUGAGAAAAGUUGGAAAUUAUUCUUCCUGGGACCUUUUAAUUGAUGGUGUUUUACCUAAGAGGACAUUGGUGAAGAGUCCUCUUCUAUCUUCCCACCCCAACACUGAACCACAAAUUUUUAAAAGACAAGUAUGGAGCAAUCUGACCAAAUGUCCUGGGACAGAAAUAACUGCUUUCGGUGAAGUGCUGCAAAAGCUUAAUUAGACUGGUAAUUGGGCUCCACAGCAUUGACUUUUUGCUCCAUGUCUCUGGGAAAGCAGACACAGGCAGGCUGGUGUAACAGCUACUAGCAGAAGAGAGAAAGGGACUGAUGGAAAAGACAUGAUUAAUCUGCUCUGAGGAACAUGAAUGGGACUCCUUGUCAAGACAAUCAGUUUGCAAACCUUUAGAAAAUAUUGCCUAAUUAAAAAAAGAAAAAAAUGGAAG
rnacentral:lncRNA from 1 species